rnacentral:rRNA from 1 species
CUCAACCCGGGAACUGCAUUCCAAACUGGAUGUCUAGAAGUGCAGAGAAGAAAGCGGAAUUCCUAGUGUAGCGUGAAAUGCGUAGAUAUUAGAGAACACCAGUGCGAAGGCGGCUUUCUGGACUGUAACUGACACUGAGGCAUGAAAGCGUGGGUAGCAAACAGGAUUAGAUACCCUGGUAGUCCACGCCGUAAACGAUGGGUACUAGGUGUAGGAGGUAUCGACCCCUUCUGUGCCGUCGUUAACACAAUAAGUACCCCGCCUGGGGAGUACGGUCGCAAGACUAAAACUCAAAGGAAUUGACGGGGGCCCGCACAAGCAGCGGAGCAUGUGGUUUAAUUCGAAGCAACGCGAAGAACCUUACCUAGACUUGACAUCUCCUGCAUUACCCUUAAUCGGGGAAGCCCUUCGGGGCAGGAAGACAGGUGGUGCAUGGUUGUCGUCAGCUCGUGUCGUGAGAUGUCGGGUUAAGUCCCGCAACGAGCGCAACCCUUAUUUUUAGUUGCUACCAUUCAGUUGAGCACUCUAAAGAGACUGCCCGGGUUAACCGGGAGGAAGGUGGGGAUGACGUCAAAUCAUCAUGCCCCUUAUGUCUAGGGCUACACACGUGCUACAAUGGUGAGAACAAAGAGACGCAAGACCGCGAGGUGGAGCAAAUCUCACAAAACUCAUCCCAGUUCGGAUUGCAGGCUGAAACUCGCCUGCAUGAAGCCGGAGUUGCUAGUAAUCGCGAAUCAGCAUGUCGCGGUGAAUACGUUCCCGGGCCUUGUACACACCGCCCGUCACACCAUGAGAGUUGGCAAUACCCGAAGUCCGUGGGGCAACCAUUUAUGGAGCCAGCGGCCGAAGGUAGGGUCAGCGAUUGGGGUGAAGUCGUAACAAGGUAACC